CAGGUCUCACAUCGAGGUCACGCUGAUGAAAAAGGAACUACAGUACUGUUAUGUCAGUAACAUAGAUCACAGUCGUACGUCUCCAGGCUUCUUAUCUUCCUUUGAACCUGACCUGGCUACUGUUUGGUGGAUUAUAGAGGAAAAGCUGUAAUGGGAAAGGAGGUUGGGUGAAGGGAUGAGAAAAAGGAAAGCAUCGUGGAGCACAUUAGCAGGCUUUCCCCAUGAAGAAGCAGCCCCAGGCUCCAGAAGCAGAUGAGCAGAUGAGAAGAUGAGGAGACAAGCAGAUGGAUUGCAAAAUGGUGCAAUAGAGAAAGAGAAAAGAAGAGGAAUGUCUGAACACUGAGAGAUUUCCAGCUGGGGUGGUCAGAGAAGCGUUCAGCCACAAGAUGGCCAAAAUCCAGGGAAGAUCUUCUUCCCACUCCAUUCCCUGCUUCUUGUUCCCUAUCCAUCCCACUGAGAGCCACCUCUACCACUCAAUAAAACCUCUCAUUCAU